AUGCGAUUUUCGGAUGGCCAUGGUGAGGGCUUGGGAGGAGACAGGAAUGGGGCGAGGCAGGAGCCGGCCGGGCAUGAGGACCUGACACUGAGCGAGAACCAGCAUACCCCGAGCCUGGCACUGGGUUGUGGAGGGGGCGACUACCCCAGGGUCCCCGCCAACUGCAGAGGAAGGAAAGCUGCGGAGAGGCAGCACUGCAGCCUGCGGCGGAAGGUGGCCAGCCUGGCCCCAGUGACCGCCGAGGGCUUCCAGGAGCGAGUGUGGGCGCAGGGGGCUGUCGCGGAGCAGGAGAGCAAGGGCUCGGCCCCGACUGCACCGUUUGCACUAAGAAAUUUGCCUCUUUCAAGGCCUAGGAGAGCCACCUCAAGUCCCAGCGGCACGUUGAGCUGGAGAAGAAGGCCAUGCAGGCCGAGAAUCGGAAAGUCGAGAUGAUGAAUGAAACAACUUGGAGAAAGGACUGGGCGGGGACAGUGUAGACAAGGAUGCCAUGAACGCGACCAUCCAACAGGCCGUCAAGGCCCAGCCAUCCACGUCUCCCAAGAAGGUGCUCACAGCGCUUGCAAAGGAGGCCACGAGUGCGGUUGCCCUGGGUACUGGUGCCGUGAAACCCACGACCGAGACCCAAGCGAGAAACCGCCCCGGCUCCAGUGGUUUGAACAGCAGAUGAAGAAGUUGGCAAAGCAUCAGGAGGAGGACAGUGAGGAGGAGGAAGAGGACCUGGAUGGAGACGAUUGGGAAGAUACUGAUUCUGAUGAAGAAUUGGAAUGUAAGGAUACUGAAGCAAUGGACGAUGCGGUGGAGCAGGGUGCAGAGGAGAAAGGCCGGGGAAAGCCCACUCCUUGGUGCUAUUCCUAUUACGGACGGCUUAUUUUGUUCCCAUCAUUCCAGCUCACUCAUGAAAAUGUGGCUCAUAUGGCCAAAGGCCACAGUUUCUUUAUUCCUGAUAUAGAAUAUCUUUCAGAUAUUAAGGGACUGAUUAAAUACUUGGGAGAGAAAGUUGGUGUUGGAAAGAUAUGUUUGUGGUGCAACCAGAAGGGGAAGACCUUCUACUUCACAGAAGCUGUGCAGGUGCAUAUAAAUGACAAAACCCACUGCAAGCUCUUCACAGAUGGUGAUGCUGCUUUGGAAUUUGCAAACUUCUAUGAUUUUAGGAGUAGCUACCCAGAUCACAAGGAAGGGGAGGAUCCUAAUGAGGCUGAGGAAUUGCCUUCAGAAAAGAACUUGGAAUAUGACGAUGAAACCAUGGAAUUGAUUCUUCCUUCUGGAGCCAGAGUGGGUCAUCAAUUUGGCUUGUCAAGAUCUGCGGCAGUUACUGAAAAUUAGAAAGCCGUGGGCUGAGUACUUCAGCAGAACAGACCCGGGGAUGGACUGGCAGCACAGAAGCAGCUCUUACACGAGAGCCAGACAUGCAGUAUGUCCAAAGGAUGAAAUCAAAAUGGAUGCUGAAGACAGGAAUGAAGAACAAUGCCACCAAGCAGAUGCACUCUCGGGUCCAAGUGAGAUUCUGAGAGUCUGCUGGGACUGAGCGAUUAUCUCCUGCCUAGGUUUCCUCCUUGUCCUGAGGACCAGUGAAAGCCAGAUCAUAUGACAGACCCUUUUGCUGCUGCUUCAUUCGUUCUGACCUAAUAAUAAAA